rnacentral:rRNA from 1 species
AUACAUGCAGUCGAGCGAACUGAUUAGAAGCUUGCUUCUAUGACGUUAGCGGCGGACGGGUGAGUAACACGUGGGCAACCUGCCUGUAAGACUGGGAUAACUUCGGGAAACCGAAGCUAAUACCGGAUAGGAUCUUCUCCUUCAUGGGAGAUGAUUGAAAGAUGGUUUCGGCUAUCACUUACAGAUGGGCCCGCGGUGCAUUAGCUAGUUGGUGAGGUAACGGCUCACCAAGGCAACGAUGCAUAGCCGACCUGAGAGGGUGAUCGGCCACACUGGGACUGAGACACGGCCCAGACUCCUACGGGAGGCAGCAGUAGGGAAUCUUCCGCAAUGGACGAAAGUCUGACGGAGCAACGCCGCGUGAGUGAUGAAGGCUUUCGGGUCGUAAAACUCUGUUGUUAGGGAAGAACAAGUACAAGAGUAACUGGUUGUACCUUGACGGCACCUAACCAGAAAGCCACGGGUAACUACGUGCCAGCCCCCCCCCCUAAUACGUAAGAGGCCAGCGGUAUUCGGAAUUAUUGGGC